AUCGAACGCUGGCGGCAUGCUUUACACAUGCAAGUCGAACGGUAACAGGGUGCUUGCACCGCUGACGAGUGGCGAACGGGUGAGUAAUGCGUCGGAACGUGCCGAGUAGUGGGGGAUAACGCAGCGAAAGUUGUGCUAAUACCGCAUACGUACUGAGGUAGAAAGUGGGGGACCUUCGGGCCUCACGCUAUUCGAGCGGCCGACGUCUGAUUAGCUAGUAGGUGAGGUAAAGGCUCACCUAGGCGACGAUCAGUAGCGGGUCUGAGAGGAUGAUCCGCCACACUGGGACUGAGACACGGCCCAGACUCCUACGGGAGGCAGCAGUGGGGAAUAUUGGACAAUGGGCGAAAGCCUGAUCCAGCCAUGCCGCGUGUGUGAAGAAGGUCUUCGGAUUGUAAAGCACUUUAAGUUGGGAGGAAGGGUUGUAGAUUAAUACUCUGCAAUUUUGACGUUACCAACAGAAUAAGCACCGGCUAACUUCGUGCCAGCCGCCGCCGUAAUAC
rnacentral:rRNA from 1 species